UACCUCCAACUGGGUGGGCGUUGCUGGGCCAGGGUGGGACUGGCAAGAGGCGGGGCAGGACAGACACACUGGUCCUGGGGAAAUCUGGUCUGCUGGUGGCCAAGGAUCUCCUGAUGAGCUUUCUGUGGGGUUAGAUUAGCCCUGGGGAAAGCAGAGGCGCAGGACAGCCCUCUCGCUGGAGCAGGAGAGACACAGUGCUCUCCCAGUGUCCCUCAAAGCUGCUAAAUCAGCGUGCGUCUGUUAGAGGGUGCUUGGCCUUGGUGUCUCUGUCUCGUGUGAGCUGCUGUCCCUUUACAACCUGGACAUCGCGGUGUGAGCAGGGCAGGCUUACAGCAGUGGUGCGGUGUGAGCAGGGCAGGCUUACAGCAGUGGUGAGGUGUGAGCAGGGCAGGCUUACAGCAGUGGUGCAGUGUGAGCAGGGCAGGCUUACAGCAGUGGUGCAGUGUGAGCAGGGCAGGCUUACAGCAGUGAUGCGGUGUGAGCAGGACAGGCUUACAGCAGUGGUGCAGUGUGAGCAGGGCAGGCUUACAGCAGUGGUGCGGUGUGAGCAGGGCAGGCUUACAGCAGUGGUGCAGUGUGAGCAGGACAGGCUUACAGUAGUGGUAUAGUGUGAACAGAGGUGGGUAUACAGCAGUGGUGAGGUAUGAACAGGGGCAGGCUUACAGUAGUGGUAAGGUGUGAACAGGGGCGGGUUUACAGUAGUGGUGAGGUGUGAACAGAGGUGGGUUUACAGCAGUGGUGAGGUAUGAACAGAGGUGGGUAUACAGCAGUGGCAAGGUGUGAACAGAGGUGGAUAUAAAGCAGUGGUGAGAUAUGAGCAGGGGUAUGUUUACAACAGUGGUGAGGUGUGAGCAAGGCAGGCUUACAGCAGUGAUGAGAUAUGAACAGGGGCGGCUUACAGCAGUGGUGAGGUGUGAACAGAGGUGGGUUUACAGCAGUGGUGAGGUAUGAGCAGAGGUGGGCUUACAGCAGUGGUGAGGUGUGAACAGAGGUGGGCUUACAGCAGUGGUGAGGUGUGAACAGAGGUGGGCUUACAGCAGUGGUGAGGUGUGAACAGAGGUAGGUUUACAGCAGUGGUAAGGUGUGAACAGAGGCAGGCUUACAGCAGUGGUGAGGUAUGAAUAGAGGUGGGUUUACAGCAGUGGUGAGGUAUGAACAGAGGUGGAUUUAUAGCAGUGGUGAGGUGUGAACAGGGGCAGGUUUACAGCAGUGGUGAGAUGUGAGCAGGGCAGGUUUACAGCAAUGGUAGAGUGUGAACAGGGGCAGUCUUCUAGCAGUGGUGAGGUGUGAACAGAGAUGGGUUUACAGCAGUGGUGAGGUGUGAGCAGGACAGGUUUACAGCACUGGUGAGGUGUGAACAGGGCAGGCUUGCAGCACUGGUGAGGUGUGAACAGGGGCGAUCUUCUAGCAGUGGUGAGGUGCAGGUAGGACUGCUGGUCUUGGUUCAUUUGUUAUUGGGUCCUGGGUCCCUUGAUCCUGUCACUUUUUACUGGGACCCAGGACUGGUCCUGGCAGGCGGCCUGCCUAAGGAGCAAGCAAGGCCUCUUAGCUGCACCUGUUGUCAUAGCCACCAGCACCUGGUUCCUGGCUCUGCCAGACUGCACAGUCUAGGCAGGAGCUGGCACGUCAGCUGCGUGCUGCUGCAUUGCAAGGUGAGGGAGGGUGCUCUGUGCCAUGGUGGCCCUGUCACCCAGUCCUGUACUCGUGAGUUCUUGUGGGAGCACGGCUGAGUCUGGCCCAGUGGUGAAGUGGGGGAGGUGUUGUCUGUCACACAGGUCACCCUUGGUGGCUCGGGCGUGGCAGGGCCACUGCUUCUUUCCUUUCAGCUACAGACCAUUGGAGGUCACUGUGAGCACUGACUUCUGACCUUCCAGCCAGACUGGAAACUUCUGGAAUGGGUGUGGCCUUUGUGGUACUCAGUAGGCUGAUGACUUUUUCCUUUUCCUUCCUUCCUUCCUUCCUUCCUUCCUUCCUUCCUUCCUUCCUUCCUUCCUUUCUUUCUCUCUCUUUUUCUCUCUCUCUUUGUUUUAGAGAGAGUGGGUUGUCUGGCCAUGUAGGCCAGGCUGACCCUGAGUUCACCUGGCUUAUAAAUGUUUGAAUGCGCUUCUUACCCAGCGAUUUUGUUUGUUUGGUUGAUUGGUUGGUUUUGGUUUGUUUUGUUGGUUUUUUUUGAGACAGGGUUGCUCUGUGACAACCCUGGCUGUUCUGGAACUCACUCUAUAGACCUGGUUGGUCUCACACUCAGAGAUCCACCUGCCCCGCCUCCUGAUUAAAGGUGUGCACCUCCACUCAGUUAUUUUAACAAAAAGCAAAUGUGAUGUAAAUGAAAAUUCCUCAGAGGGUCUGGCAAGAUGGCCCAGUGGCUCAGAGCACUUGCUGCUCUUGCAGAAGACCUGAUUUGGAUUCCCAGCACUCAAAUGACAGCUCAUAACAGACUCUACUGCCCCACACCCACCGCCUUCUGGCCUCCCGUGCAUUGGUGCAUGUGGUUCAUGCAGGCAGAACGUCCUUACACAUGAGAUCAAAGUAGACGCGUGUAGGGUUUGUGUUUUGUGUUUUGAAAAGGCCUCAAAGGAGCUUUGACCUCUUAACUCUGCUCAUUCUCUUUGUGGUUUCACAGACUGUCUGAGGUCUCCUGGGAGCUUUGUGUAGCAGCUCUGUGCUGCUACAGGAGGCUCUGUGACAGUCCCACCCUCUGCUCUAGAGAGCAGCAGGGCCCACUUGAGGGCAGAGGUCACUGGGUACAGCCGCAUCAGGUCAGCAUGCAGGGAGGUGCAGCAUGGUGGACCUGGAGGUCGAGGGAACGAGAGGCCCAGGCUGGGCCCGGAAGGCGGAUUUGGUGACGAGAGAACAGCACUGUCUCCAGGCACACGGACGGACGGGCUGAGCUUCAGUGAAGCUGGGGAGGGCUGAGCAGAAAUCUCGUGUCUGCAGCAGGGACCUAGGCAGCAGGCUGUGUCCUCAGGGAGGAGAGCCAGGCUGAUUGAGACUGACGUGGAGAAGGCGCAUGUGCUGAGCUUUAGAGCAGGAAGGUUCUGAUCCUGCCGCCAGCUGGGAAGGAACAGACAUCAAGGCAGUGCUGACCGCAGACCGCAGGCUGGGGUGUUCUAGACGGUGUAGGAAGGAAGGAAGAGGUUCUGGUGAGGGUCACAGUCGAGCCUCCAGGCCUGGGAGGACACCUUGCUUCCUUAGACCCUGGGGCUGUGAUCCUUCAAAUCAUAAUGAGCUAUUGUGGGGCUGUUACUGGAAUGCUGUCAGAACUCAAGUGGCCAAGUUGCUGUCCUGAGGCCGGUGGAUGGACUCCGGCCCAGGAGGGUCUGGAGGCUGUUUUAGUUGUGGUUACUCUUGCUGUGAUGAAACACCAGGACUAAAGCAUCCUGGGGAGAACAGGGUUUGCCGCCCACUCCUGUUCAUUGUAGAAGUCAGGACAGGAACUCAAGCAGAACAGGAAGCCGGAGGCAGGAACUGACACAGAGGUCAUGAAGGGGUGCUGCUCCCGGCCUUGCUCCCCGGGCUUGCUCAGCUUAAGUUCUUAUAGAACCCAGGACUGCCAGCCCAGGGAUGGCCCCACCCAUAAUGGGAGGGCCC